rnacentral:rRNA from 1 species
AACGCGAAGAACCUUACCUACCCUUGACAUGUCUGGAAUGCCGAAGAGAUUUGGCAGUGCUCGCAAGAGAACCGGAACACAGGUGCUGCAUGGCUGUCGUCAGCUCGUGUCGUGAGAUGUUGGGUUAAGUCCCGCAACGAGCGCAACCCUUGUCAUUAGUUGCUACGAAAGGGCACUCUAAUGAGACUGCCGGUGACAAACCGGAGGAAGGUGGGGAUGACGUCAAGUCCUCAUGGCCCUUAUGGGUAGGGCUUCACACGUCAUACAAUGGUCGGGACAGAGGGUCGCCAACCCGCGAGGGGGAGCCAGUCCCAGAAACCCGAUCGUAGUCCGGAUCGCAGUCUGCAACUCGACUGCGUGAAGUCGGAAUCGCUAGUAAUCGCGAUCAGCA